GAUUAGCUAGUUGGUGGGGUAAAGGCUUACCAAGGCAACGAUCAGUAGCUGGUCUGAGAGGACGACCAGCCACACUGGGACUGAGACACGGCCCAGACUCCUACGGGAGGCAGCAGUGGGGAAUUUUGGACAAUGGGCGAAAGCCUGAUCCAGCCAUGCCGCGUGAGUGAAGAAGGCCUUCGGGUUGUAAAGCUCUUUUAGUCGGAAAGAAAGAGUCAUAGUAAAUGGCUAUGAUUUUGACGGUACCGACAGAA
rnacentral:rRNA from 1 species